rnacentral:rRNA from 1 species
GACGAACGCUGGCGGCGUGCCUAAUACAUGCAAGUUGAGCGAUGAAGAUUGGUGCUUGCACCAAUUUGCAGAGCAGCGAACGGGUGAGUAACGCGUGGGGAAUCUGCCUUUGAGCGGGGGACAACAUUUGGAAACGAAUGCUAAUACCGCAUAACAACUUUAAACAUAAGUUUUAAGUUUGAAAGAUGCAAUUGCAUCACUCAAAGAUGAUCCCGCGUUGUAUUAGCUAGUUGGUGAGGUAAAGGCUCACCAAGGCGAUGAUACAUAGCCGACCUGAGAGGGUGAUCGGCCACAUUGGGACUGAGACACGGCCCAAACUCCUACGGGAGGCAGCAGUAGGGAAUCUUCGGCAAUGGACGAAAGUCUGACCGAGCAACGCCGCGUGAGUGAAGAAGGUUUUCGGAUCGUAAAACUCUGUUGGUAGAGAAGAACGUUGGUGAGAGUGGAAAGCUCAUCAAGUGACGGUAACUACCCCGAAAGGGACGGCUAACUACGUG